ACGCACGCUGGCUGCGUGCCUCAUACCUGCCAGUAGAACGCUGAAGGCGGAGCUUGCUCUUCUGGAUGAGUUGCGAACGGGUGAGUAACGCGUAGGUAACCUGCCUGGUAGCGGGGGAUAACUAUUGGAAACGAUAGCUAAUACCGCAUAAGAGUAGAUGUUGCAUGACAUUUGCUUAAAAGGUGCAAUUGCAUCACUACCAGAUGGACCUGCGUUGUAUUAGCUAGUUGGUGGGGUAACGGCUCACCAAGGCGACGAUACAUAGCCGACCUGAGAGGGUGAUCGGACACACUGGGACUGAGACACGGCCCAGACUCCUACGGGAGGCAGCAGUAGGGAAUCUUCGGCAAUGGACGGAAGUCUGACCGAGCAACGCCGCGUGAGUGAAGAAGGGUUUCGGAUCGUAAAGCUCGGUUGUAAGAGAAGAACGAGUGUGAGAGUGGAAAGUUCACACUGUGACGGUAUCUUACCAGAAAGGGACGGCUAACUACGUG
rnacentral:rRNA from 1 species